rnacentral:sRNA from 1 species
GGCUUCGCUGCUAGCUCGCGGGGACGUCGGGCCGGUUUUUCCAGGAUGACCGAGCUGAGGCAGAGGGUGGCCCAUGAGCCGGAUGCGCCACCCGAGGACAAGGAGUCAGAGUCAGAAGCAAAGGUAGAUGGAGAGACUGCAUCGGACAGUGAAAGCCGGGCAGAAUCCGCACCCCUGCCAGUCUCUGCAGAUGAUACCCCGGAGGUCCUCAAUAGGGCCCUUUCCAACUUGUCUUCAAGAUGGAAGAACUGGUGGGUGAGAGGCAUCCUGACUUUGGCCAUGAUUGCAUUUUUCUUCAUCAUCAUUUACCUGGGACCAAUGGUUUUAAUGAUAAUCGUAAGUGCCAUUUCACACUAUUUUAGUUUUCCCUUCAGUUUUUGCUGCGGGCCCGGUUGUCUUAAGUGUGAGGUGUUGGGUUGGUUGUGGGAAUUGAUGGGGGUCCAGGCUUCUCAGAAAACCUCUUCCAUAGAACAUCUGUGACUUCCCACUUCUCGGUAGCCACCUGGAGGGUCAUUGGUGUAGGCUGGUUGUUUAUGGUUGAAGAUGUCUCAAUGUCUUUUCUUUUAAAAAACUGACUUUAUUGCCUGUGAUCCCAGCACUUUGUGAGGCUGAGGCGGGCGGAUCACGAGGUCAGGAGUUCGAGACCAGCCUGACCAACAUGGUAAAACCCUGUCUCUACUAAAAAUACAAAAAUUAGCCAUGUGUGGUG